rnacentral:rRNA from 1 species
UACGAAGGGUGCAAGCGUUGUUCGGAAUUACUGGGCGUAAAGGGUUCGUAGGCAGGAAUGUAAGUUGAAUGUGAAAACCCCGGGCUUAACCUGGGACGUGCAUCCAAAACUGCGUUUCUUGAGUGUCUGAGAGGGUCGUGGAAUUGCUGGUGUAGGAGUGACAUCCGUAGAGAUCAGCAGGAACACCGGAGGCGAAAGCGACGACCUGGCAGAACACUGACGCUGAGGAACGAAAGCGUGGGGAGCAAACAGG